UGUCCAGGGAUGGGAAUCGAACUUACAAUGUUCCGCUUACUGGGCAGAUGCCAUGUCUACUAGGCUACCAUGGAC
rnacentral:tRNA from 1 species